rnacentral:lncRNA from 1 species
AGCCGCAGUCCUUGGGCCGAAACGUGAUGGGGACAUCGAUGUAGCCUUCCCCGUUCUUCGCAAUGUUAGUAGACUUGCUCAGAUCAGCGCGGCCAAUGCUCACGUCGCAUAGCCAAACCUCAAAGUCAAUGUCAUUAAGGCAUAGGUCGAAGUCGUUCUUGUUUCCCAGCUUCAGAUGAAGAGUGGCAGUGGUUUCCUCGAAUGAGAACUUGUCAAACUGAACCUUCUCGAGAUCGAUUUGUGGUUUGUAAGGGACGGGGAUCUCUCCGGUCUUCUCAAGGGGGAAAGUAAGCCUACCAAACACGGGCACGUCCACAAUGAGGUCGACCUUAACCCUAUAAGGAAUCACACUUCCUGGUUGUAUAUCAUCGUACGUGCUCUUGAUAUCAUCGUAUAUAAGACAAAGUGGCAG